rnacentral:rRNA from 1 species
AGUGAACGCUGGCGGUAGGCCUAACACAUGCAAGUCGAACGGCAGCACAGUAAGAGCUUGCUCUUACGGGUGGCGAGUGGCGGACGGGUGAGGAAUACAUCGGAAUCUACUUUUUGGGGGGGAUAACGGAGGGAAACUUAAGCUAAUACCGCAUAAGAACUACGGGUGGAAGCAAGGGAACUUCGGACCUUGCCCGGUUGAAUGAAGCGAUGUCGGAUUAGCUAGUUGGCGGGGUAAAGGCCCACCAAGGCGACGAUCCGUAGCUGGUCUGAGAGGAUGAUCAGCCACACUGGAACUGAGACACGGUCCAGACUCCUACGGGAGGCAGCAGUGGGGAAUAUUGGACAAUGGGCGCAGGCCUGAUCCAGCCAUACCGCGUGGGUGAAGAAGGCCUUCGGGUUGUAAAGCCCUUUUGUUGGGAAAGAAAAGCAGCAGGUUAAUACCCCGCUGUUCUGACGGUACCCAAAGAAUAAGCACCGGCUAACUUCGUG